AUUGAACGCUGGCGGCAUGCCUUACACAUGCAAGUCGAACGGUAACGGGCCUUCGGGUGCCGACGAGUGGCGCACGGGUGAGUAAUACAUCGGAACGUGCCCGAUCGUGGGGGAUAACGAGGCGAAAGCUUUGCUAAUACCGCAUACGAUCUACGGAUGAAAGCAGGGGACCGCAAGGCCUUGCGCGGACGGAGCGGCCGAUGGCAGAUUAGGUAGUUGGUGGGUUAAAAGCUUACCAAGCCGACGAUCUGUAGCUGGUCUGAGAGGAUGAUCAGCCACACUGGGACUGAGACACGGCCCAGACUCCUACGGGAGGCAGCAGUGGGGAAUUUUGGACAAUGGGCGCAAGCCUGAUCCAGCCAUGCCGCGUGCAGGAUGAAGGCCUUCGGGUUGUAAACUGCUUUUGUACGGAACGAAAAGCCUUCUUUUAAUACAGGAGGGUCAUGACGGUACCGUAAGAAUAAGCACCGGCUAACUACGUG
rnacentral:rRNA from 1 species